ACAUUGUUUUAGCUAAACUAAAUAAUUGUUUUUGCUAAAUUACAUGCAACAGGGUUAAUGUUAAGGUGAGCACGAGCAGCAAUUGCUGGCACGCCCACUACAGACAAAGCUAGCACUACGUAUUCUGCUUUAUUAAGUAAGGUUGUUUCAGAGUCACAAGUGCUAUCUAGCGUGGCCCCUCGUUGAGAACAAUUAGAAUGAUAAAGUUGUUGUUUAGAAAGCAAAACAGGAAUCAGCCAGCUGAGGGAGCAUUGCACUUCACUAAUAUUAGCAGGAACAUAAUUAAAAGUUUCUUGACCACAUGUAAAAAAACCAUCCUUGCCAAACAUGGGCAAACUGAAAGGAAGUCUCUUCAAAAGCUGUGCAGUUCAGAGUAGGUGAGCUAAUGCGAUGACAGUGAGUUUUUUUACUUGAAGAUGUACAAUUAGCUACUUUUACACAGGUUAUAUUUACAGGAAUUGCUACCACUGGGAUAUGUAAAGCAAUUGCAUCAAGGGGUGGAUAAUAGGCAGCAAACCCCCAACUAGAUAUAGUCUUAUAGUUAAAGUUCCCAUUGAAU